CAUUUCAGUUAGCAACAGCUGCUGUGUCAAGUUCAAACUUCAACCAGACGAACUAGCCAACCAGGGACAACAAAGGAGACAGGGCAAGGAGAAGAGAUGCUGAGCUGGCACACUUGGAGUUUAUGUGUGGAGUUCCCACUUGAAUUCAGCCAAUCUCAGCAUGCUGAUCUGUAACAUCUAGAGUAGCCUACUAUAAUAUACUCUGUGGGAGCUGCCUCCGAAGACAACUUGGAAACUGCAAUGAGGUCAAAAAGCAAUACCAAAUCUAGUUGAUAUAGUCAUGUUACACCAUUAUGAGAUCAAUUACAUCAUCUGCCAGUUUGUUACCAAGCUCAAUUUAAGAGCACUGGCAGACAAUUGGAGUGAGAUUUAUACUAUUUUCCAUUGCCUCCUUUGUUGGAAGAGGGGUGUUUCAACAGUAAGACCAUAGGGAGGAAUGCAAGAAAGAAAAAAUCAACUACCCAGCCUUGUU